rnacentral:rRNA from 1 species
UACAGAGGGGGCAAGCGUUAUUCGGAAUUAUUGGGCGUAAAGGGCGCGUAGGCGGCUUGGCAAGUGGAUGGUGAAAUCCCUCGGCUUAACCGAGGAACUGCCAUCCAGACUGCUUUGCUUGAGGCCGGGAGAGGUGAGUGGAAUUCCCAGUGUAGCGGUGAAAUGCGUAGAUAUCGGGAGGAACACCAGUGGCGAAGGCGGUUGCCUGGAGCUUUGCUGACGCUGAUGCGCGAAAGCGUGGGGAGCGAUCCGG